UAUAUUAAAUAAAAGAAAAUUAUGAUCGAAAUAAUAAACGAAUGAAAAUGAUAAACGAAUAAUCAAUAUUCUUUUAACAGAAUAUUUAUUCGGAGUAAUUUUGAAUAAUAUAUAGUCAGCACGUGGAUAUCUGCAUCAGCUGCAUGCUUUAGGGUGACACAUGGACAAGAUGAACCUGUUCCAAAAAAGUGUGAUUUUGAAGUUAUAAUUGCAUCACAUACCAUAAAUUACACCGUUUACGGGUCAAUAUUUUACAGUCAACAAUUAAUAACUCACACGCAUGGGUAGAAGUUAUACUUAAUUGUUUUAAUGGAUCGCAGAGAAACCAUGAAUAGUAUUGGUGAUACUUGCAGUGAACUCAAGAAUCAAUAUGACCACUGUUUUAAUACGUGGUUUUCUGAAAAAUUCCUGAAAGGUUUAUUGUUAAUUAAACUCAUAAAUUGCUAUGGAACCAUGUAAAGAUUUGAAGCAAAAAUAUGAUGACUGCUUUAAUAGUUGGUUUGCGGAAAAAUUUCUUAAAGGAAGCAAAAACGACAAACAAUGUGCUUCUUUGCUGGAGGUAUAUAAAACAUGUGUUCAGAAAGCCAUGAAAGACCAACAAAUUGAACUGCAUGAUGUUCAAGCAAGUCAUCUGGGGACUGAU